AGCAGCCGCGGUAAUUCCAGCUCCAAUAGCGUAUAUUAAAGUUGUUGCAGUUAAAAAGCUCGUAGUUGAAUUUCGGGAUCAGUUGAUCGGUCGUGCCUCGGUACGUACUGGUCAAAUUGAUUCCUACCUUCUGACGAACCACGAUGUCAUUAAUUUGGUGUCGUGGGAAAUCAGGACUGUUACUUUGAAAAAAUUAGAGUGUUUAAAGCAGGCUCGCGCUUGAAUACAUUAGCAUGGAAUAAUGAAAUAGGACGUUUGAUUCUAUUUUGUUGGUUUCUAGGAUCGACGUAAUGAUUAAUAGGGAUAGUUGGGGGCAUUAGUAUUCAAUUGUCAGAGGUGAAAUUCUUGGAUUUAUUGAAGACUAACUACUGCGAAAGCAUUUGCCAAGGAUGUUUUCAUUAAUCAAGAACGAAAGUUAGGGGAUCGAAGACGAUCAGAUACCGUCGUAGU
rnacentral:rRNA from 2 species